rnacentral:rRNA from 1 species
ACGGAGGGUGCAAGCGUUAUUCGGAAUCACUGGGCGUAAAGAGCGCGUAGGCGGUUUUUAAAGUCAGAUGUGAAAGCCCGGGGCUCAACCCCGGAAGUGCAUUUGAAACUUAGGGACUUGAGUAUGGGAGAGGGAAGUGGAAUUCCUGGUGUAGCGGUGAAAUGCGUAGAUAUCAGGAGGAACAUCGGUGGCGAAGGCGACUUCCUGGACCAAUACUGACGCUGAGGCGCGAAGGCGUGGGGAGCAAACAGG